GUCUUACGAAAAAGGUUCGUUCCAUAGUAAUACACCUCCGCCGUUUGGACAAACCGCCGGAGCCACAUCUCAAUACGGUGCACAACAACUUUACAUUCAAGCUAUGCCAGCUGCUCUGCAUAACAUGAACAUGCAUCAACAAAUUCAUCAGAUGGACGGUCGCGUCUAUAACUCAACAAAAAGGGAUUCAAAUAAUGCCGGCCAAAGACAGCAGGCCAGUAGCCAGGGUAAAUCCAGUACUAAGCAAGGCUAUUCUCCAUCAUACUGGACCGCACAGAACUAAGAUUCAUCUAAACCUACACAACAAACACACACACACACACACACAUAAUCGAGAAAAAAAUGAAGUAAACAACAAAGUAAAAAAUGAGAACAAGAUAAACAAAAAUUUGCAGAAAAUCUUGAAUUAAUGAGAAAACAUUUACUUGAUAUAGUUUUUUUUUUCGAAAUUAAGCUAAAAAAAAUUAAUAAAAGAAAAAUUUACAUUGAGUAUAAUGAUGAAUGAGAUGCAAAAGUUAAUAAAUAAACAACAAGAAUUCAAGAUAUGAGCUGGACAUUUUUUCACAGUAAUUAUAAAUAACAGUUUAACCACAGUACACGAGAAGAAAAAUGAAAAAUGCUAUUGAUAAUCUAAAAAAUAAAUAAACAAGAAAAAAAAAUUAAAUAAAAAAAAAACAAUUAAUUGAAUAAGGUUUAAGUGUGGAAAAGUACAUAUAUGAAAAAGAAAAAAAUUAUAUUAUAAUAAAAAUUGAAUUAUGAAAUUUAUUAAAAAAAAAAACCAACAAAAACAACAUGAUGCAAAAUAAAAUUGAACAGAAAAUGAAAUUUAAACAAAUAGAAUAAAA